rnacentral:tRNA from 1 species
GUAAAUGUAGCUUAUUGUUAUAAAGUUUUAAUUUUUUAAAUUAAAGAAAUAUUAUUAUCUUUUGCA